ACGUAGGUAGCAAGCGUUAUUCGGAUUUACUGGGCGUAAAGGGUCCGCAGGGGGCCUGUCAAGUCUGAUGUGAAAUGCCACGGCUCAACCGUGGAACGGCAUUGGAAACUGACGGGCUAGAGUGCAUGAGGGGUGAGCAGAAUUCCUGGUGUAGCGGUGGAAUGCGUAGAUAUCAGGAGGAAUACCGAUGGCGAAGGCGGCUCACUGGCGUGCAACUGACCCUCAGGGACGAAAGCGUGGGUAGCAAACAG
rnacentral:rRNA from 1 species